rnacentral:rRNA from 1 species
AGAACGAACGCUGGCGGCAGGCUUAACACAUGCAAGUCGAACGCCCCGCAAGGGGAGUGGCAGACGGGUGAGUAACACGUGGGAACAUACCCUUCGGUUCGGAACAACGCCGGGAAACUGGCGCUAAUACCGGAUACGGCUUUUGAGCGAAAGAUUUAUCGCCGAAGGAUUGGCCCGCGUUCGAUUAGCUUGUUGGUGAGGUAACGGCUCACCAAGGCGACGAUCGAUAGCUGGU